rnacentral:tRNA from 1 species
UGGCACAUAGCUCAGGGGUAGAGCACCACCUUGACACGGUGGGGGUCCCCGGUUCAAUUCCGGGUGUGCCAA